rnacentral:misc_RNA from 1 species
CGAAAUCUCAUAAAAAAUCCACGACAAUACUAUAGAUAUACCAAUAUAAUGCCGUAACGUUACGUACGAAUGGAACUUUGUCUAUUACUUUAUAGCAUACAUAUUAGGGUGAGUUAAAAAAAUUUUUUUUUAUUUUCUUGGCAUGGGGGCAGAAUUUGUACCUUACAAAAAAAGAAAAUUUUUCAAAUGUGGAAAAAAUUUUGUACUUGAUAUUUUGAGGUAGCCCACUCGUUUUUUGGAUAAAUAAUUAAUCAAGUGGGGUACUUCCAGCAAUAAAAUCUUUUUUUUUU